GAGGAGAGGAGAGGAGAGGAGAGGAGAGGAGAGGAGAGGAGAGGAGAGGAGAGGAGAGGAGAGGAAGAAGUCAGGGAUUCUGUCACAGAGCAAAAAGCUAGAGGUCUUCUGACUAAAUUGUGAGCUCAGGAGAGCAGAGCUGUUGUCUGUGCUGUACAGAUAAGAAGGGAAUCAGUUGAUAAGGGUUUCUUGUGACGUCAUUCCAGCAUAUACUGCCAAUCCCUCUUCCUGCCUCAGUAGUUAGAAAAAGUUUACAGAGAAACUUUUUGUCUUUACUUUCAGUAGUUGAUAAGAGUGUCUUCAAACUGCCUUGUAUGUUACUAGGAGAAAGCAACUUCACAAUGUAAAAGGACCAUAUUCAUAUAUACAUGAAUACACAUUGAGCUCACUAGAUUCUCAGUUCUAGAGGUUGUAUAUUCAAUAACACAUGCAUGCAAAUAUGCAGUCUCCUCCAAAACAGACUUUUCUCAAAGCUCAAAUGCAUGGAGAGACAUUCCACUGUCCUGUGGCACCUGGUAGAAUGAAGGCUUGCAUAUCCAACUGAUAGUAUGGAAAAUAUAAGGACAAGCCGUUAGGAGGAUGACAGCAACGACGGAUGUUAAUGAAGACCUUCCUGUAGAAGAAAAGAGAAAGAACGUGGGGAGAGGGGUGCCCUCCAGCUGAGGAGGGGACCCCGUGCGUGCGGGUGAGAUGGGGCUUAGCCCUGAAGUUUUCUAGGGUUCCCCUUGCGUGUGGGUGAAACUGGGGUGCCCUCCGGCUGAGGAGAGGACCCCGUGCGUGGAGGUGAGAUGGGGCUUAGCCCUGAAGUUUUCAAGGGUUCCCCUUGCAUGUGGGUGAAACUGGGGUGCCCUCCGGCUGAGGAGAGGACCCCGUGCGUGGAGGUGAGAUGGGGCUUAGCCCUGAAGUUUUCAAGGGUUCCCCUUGCAUGUGGGUGAAACUGGGGUGCCCUCCGGCUGAGGAGAGGACCCCGUGCGUGGAGGUGAGAUGGGGCUUAGCCCUGAAGUUUUCAAGGGUUCCCCUUGCGUGCGGGUCAAACUGGGGUGCCCUCCGGCUGAGGAGAGGACCCCGUGCGUGCCAGUGAGAUGGGGCUUAGCCCUGAAGUUUUCAAGGGUUCCCCUUGCGUGUGUGUCAAACUGGGGUGCCCUCCAGCUGAGGAGAGGACCCCGUGCGUGGAGGUGAGAUGGGGCUUAGCCCUGAAGUUUUCAAGGGUUCCCCUUGCGUGCGGGUGGAACUGGGGUGCCCUCCGGCUGAGGAGAGGACCCCGUGCGUGCGGGUGAGAUGGGGCUUAGCCCUGAAGUUUUCAAGGGUUCCCCUUGUUUGCAAGUAGAACUGGGGUGCCCUCCGGCUGAGGAGAGGACCCCGUGCGUGGAGGUGAGAUGGGGCUUAGCCCUGAAGUUUUCAAGGGUUCCCCUUGCAUGCAGGUCAAACUGGGGUGCCCUCCGGCUGAGGAGGGGACCCCGUGCGUGGAGGUGAGAUGGGGCUUAGCCCUGAAGUUUUCAAGGGUUCCCCUUGUUUGCAAGUAGAACUGGGGUGCCCUCCGACUGAGGAGAGGACCCCGUGCGUGGAGGUGAGAUGGGGCUUAGCCCUGAAGUUUUCAAGGGUUCCCCUUGUUUGCAAGUAGAACUGGGGUGCCCUCCGGCUGAGGAGGGGACCCCGUGCGUGGAGGUGAGAUGGGGCUUAGCCCUGAAGUUUUCAAGGGUUCCCCUUGCAUGCAGGUCAAACUGGGGUGCCCUCCGGCUGAGGAGGGGACCCCGUGCGUGGAGGUGAGAUGGGGCUUAGCCCUGAAGUUUUCGAGGGUUCCCCUUGCGUGCGGGUGGAAAUGGGGUGCCCUCCAGCUGAGGAGAGGACCCCGUGCGUGGAGGUGAGAUGGGGCUUAGCCCUGAAGUUUUCAAGGGUUCCCCUUGCGUGCGGGUGGAACUGGGGUGCCCUCCGGCUGAGGAGGGGACCCCGUGCGUGGGGUAGAAGCCCCUGGUGAAGGGGUUUCUCCCCUGAGUGUGUGUGUGUGUGUGUACCUGUUUCUUGUUGCAAUUUCAGGUCCACUGUCUGCUCCAUAGCCAAGGUGGCCUUGCUGUUCUUUAGGGUCUGACCCUGCUCUCGUCUUCAUGCCCGUCUUCUGUCUGACGGCCAUGUGCAGGUUCAGCUGCCUCCAGCUCUUCUCCCCGACUUGCUUUCCCGUGCUGUGGAGGAAGGGCACGUCUCCGCAGCUGACAUCUCCCUUGGGCCUGCGCUUGCACCGAGCCGCUGCCAGAACGGGAACUGCAGGCGUCUGUUGAACAACAAAGCAAACGCCCAAGCAUUUCGGGUGUGAUGUCCCCAGCAUUCCAAGGAGAGAUUACGCAGCAGCAGCCCAAACUUCUGGAAUGGCUUCUUUCUAGGAGAGAAGCAAAGCCUUGGCGGAGCCAGAGCAGGAGCUUCUUUCCUGAAGGGAAGAGAACCUCCAGCCAUCGCUAUCCAUCUCCUCCCCGGCCAAAGGCCAAAGGCCAAAAGCCAAAGGCCAAAUCCCAAAUCCCAUAUCCCAAAUCCCCAAUCCCAAAUCCCAAAUCCCAAAUCCCCGCCUCCAUUGCUAACAUCAGAGCACAGCAAGCCGUACGUGUGCAGAAGCAUCCCAGAUUCCUAUGGCUCUGUAGCGGUGCGCUAAAGAGGGCCUCGGUCCUACAGCCUCACGGCAGGAACUUGGCAAACAAGGAGCUUCUCACGGGACUGCUCACUUGCAUCCACUGCCAUCGCAUCCACAGCCCGCAGCCCGCAGCCGUCGGGUGAAGCCCUCAAGAGUACAACGGAGGUCGAGUGCUGAAAGCACGGGAGAGUUCCCGCAGCAACUGCUGCUAACAGCAGACGCUCCCAGCAACUCCAAGGAAGCCCUGAGAGCCCCGAGCCGUGCCCCAGGACCGCUUCCUCUCUCGAUUCACCGCCACCGCCACGGGAAAAGCAGACGGGAAAAGGGCACCGACGAAAGCUGCCGAUCGCGUUCACGACGGAGGCACUGCCGGCACUCGGGAGGACGGGAGAGCCCGGGGCUACUCGGCUCGAAGCGCUUCCCGCCCGCCCCGUUUCCCCACCUGGCAGCGCGGCGGCGGGUCG
ensembl:lncRNA